AUUGAACGCUGGCGGCAGGCCUAACACAUGCAAGUCGAACGGUAACAGGAAGCAGCUUGCUGCUUCGCUGACGAGUGGCGGACGGGUGAGUAAUGUCUGGGAAGCUGCCUGAUGGAGGGGGAUAACUACUGGAAACGGUAGCUAACACCGCAUAAUGUCGCAAGACCAAAGAGGGGGACCUUCGGGCCUCUUGCCAUCGGAUGUGCCCAGAUGGGAUUAGCUUGUUGGUGGGGUAACGGCUCACCAAGGCGACGAUCCCUAGCUGGUCUGAGAGGAUGACCAGCCACACUGGAACUGAGACACGGUCCAGACUCCUACGGGAGGCAGCAGUGGGGAAUAUUGCACAAUGGGCGCAAGCCUGAUGCAGCCAUGCCGCGUGUAUGAAGAAGGCCUUCGGGUUGUAAAGUACUUUCAGCGGGGAGGAAGGGAGUAAAGUUAAUACCUUUGCUCAUGGACGUAACCCGCAGAAGAAGCACCGGCUAACUCCGU
rnacentral:rRNA from 1 species